rnacentral:pre_miRNA from 1 species
CAAGUACUCUCUUCAUCCAAAAAUACUUAUCAAAGAAAUGAAUGUAUCUAGACGUAUUUUAGUCUUAGAUACAUUCAUUUUAAUCUAUUCCGACAAGUAUUUUCGAAUGGAGGAGUACAAU